UACGUAGGUGACCAGCGUUGUCCGGAUUUACUGGGCGUAAAGAGCGCGCAGGCGGUCGUUCAAGUCGAGUGUGAAAGCCCCCGGCUCAACUGGGGAGGGUCAUUCGAUACUGAUCGACUCGAAGGCAGGAGAGGGAAGCGGAAUUCCCGGUGUAGUGGUGAAAUGCGUAGAUAUCGGGAGGAACACCAAAGGCGAAAGCACUUUGCUGGGCCGAAACUGACACUGAUAGACGAAAGCUAGGGGAGCAAAUGGG
rnacentral:rRNA from 1 species